UGACUUGAGAAACUGCAAGACGCUUCUGGUGUGAGAAAAUUGGCCAUCUGCAAGGACGUUACCCAGGGAACGCCCAGAUGUUAAUACAUAUUCAAAAUAUUGCAGUAAAAUGCGUGUAUCGGAACUCCUUAGAAACAACUAGCAGUGCCCGGCCACACAUUGCUGUGUCGUAGUCUGCUGGUUUUGAAAAAAAGAGAUGUCUGCCAGAAAAAAAAGAUCAAUGACAACUGUAAUUCUGCAUGAUAAACAUGGCUGAUACACAGGGAUUCAAAUUCAAAUGAAAGCUCAACACCGUCAGCCUCGAUGGAUUAAUCUGUAAGUUUUACCGUCUCCCAUAUUUCCGUUUUUUAAAAAAAAAUCUUUUAAAUACUUUGUCACAUUUAUGAAGAAAUGAUUGAAAUUUAUUAAUUUCUUAUUAAAAUACCAGUGAAAUUCUCUAUUAAAAUGGCAAGGAAAAGAAAGUAUAAUAAAGUUCGCAUUCAAGAGAGACCAGUUUCAAGCUCCACCAAAAAUACAAGGAGAGGAAAGGACUUUAACAAUGUACAUUUGUCUAUAAAUCUCCUUUUUCUGGUUACCAGCAAGAAAAAAAAACAAAAGUAUAAAUGGAAAAACAACAGCUAUUCUUUCCUCUUCCCUGCAACAACAGAACUAAACCCAGCAAACAUUAAAGACCUCCUUGGCUUUUUCUGGCUUUAUCAUUUCUGGGUAGACAGACUAGAAACAGCAUGGUGGUCACUCGCACUUUUUGUCUCAAGUUAAGGGGUUUUUUAAUGGCAUUUGCCAGGGGAGUAACAGACACCAGAUAUUCUAUUCAUCCAAGUGUAAACAGAAACCAUGUUCUCAGAAUUUAGUGGAGAUUGGGCUAUAACCCUAAGGAAGAUGGAGGAGGGAGGAGGCUUUCGAAGAUCUGUGAUGUCUUCUCUUCAGCAGCCUGGUCUAGUUCCCACUUCAACGAUUCAUUUUGGGUUUCAACUCAGCAUGUCCACUAUGAUGUUUAUGUUCCCUGGAAUGUACCAGUAAGAAGGGGAGAUGUGAAUGCUCUUUUUGAAGAUGCAGUUCCUGCAAGUCUCCAGGAAUAAGGCCUUUGAACUUGUUCCUCCUUGCUCAUUCUGGCUGUAAACUGCUACCCUGCCGUUUGGGAUGUGACAAGUAAAGUCUUGUUCAGGAGAAGCUCUGGUGAUAGAAGGAAGGCUGUGUUUGUGUCUGCUUGUUUUGUUAAGAUUUAAUGCACUUGCUGGGAAUUUGGUGGCAAUACUACAGCAACUGAAUAAUUACCCACCCGAGUUAAGGCCCCAAUUCAUCUGUACCUCACAUAAAGUGCUUUGCAGAAUGGAGCUGGUGUCUCGGUUACACUUCUCUACCCAACCACCAAAAAUGACUGAUGUCUCAGGGGUUCUUGCACUAACUAAUAAUUUCAAAGAAAGGGAUCAUGCAACACAGACGGUUGCAUAAAUAAGGAGCUACUUUUUGGCUUUCUGUUUACAAAUGCUACUAAAACACUUAGAGGUUUAUGAUGUAAAAUAUGAAACGGGAUUAUUUAUCACACUUAACAAACCUGAAAUUUAUGCCAAGCAUAACAUAUUGAAAAACAAUGUAUUUCAUCAAGGCAAAGAGUCUUUUGGCAGAAGGAAUUGAGGAUAGAUAAGUAUAAUUGAAUGCAUUAUUCCAGAAUUGGGAGUGGAAAAAUCAAGAGCUUUUUUUAUCCAGAAAAACAAACAAAAAUACAUUUCCAUUGCACCAACAUCAUUCACUAUCCAAUAAUUAGAGUUUGUAGGGAAGGAAAGCCAUAUGAUAUUGUCUUAAUCAUAGAAUAACUGUAUGGCAAAACUAUUUGAGGUUUGUUUUCUUCAAUUUGUUUUUACUUUGGGGUAAAAAAGUAGGCAACUGUGCUAAUACUGAAAAGGGAUAAAGGCAUUUUGUUUACAUUGACAUCCUGACAUCCUGGAAAAGAUGCAUAGAUUUCACUAGAAAAUAUGCAGAAUUCACAUAUGCAAGGUCCCACAGUGCAUUCCUUUGUUUCCGGAACAUUGUGCUUAUGCAGCCAAAGUGGCAACACAAAGAAAAACGAGCAGGUUCAAAGAAACCCUCAAGGUUUCCAUGUGAAAGAGUAUUUAGAAGAAGAAAUACUAUGAAGAGGAACUCAAAAACCAGCAGGGUCAGACUUAAUUAAUACUAUGUAUCUUGAGGUAGAGGUAUGAAAGAAUCCAGUCUGAAACCCUUCAAAGCCAUUGCUAGUCACAUUUGACAACACCAGCCUAGUUGGGCUUCUUGUAUUCUUAUGGUAUAUUUGCUUUUUCCAGCUGUAUGAAAGAAAAACACAAACAAAUUUGUAUUCUAGGGCUGAUUUCCUAUUUUCAGCUAGUUGCCUAAAGACAUGUCCUCAUAUGUCGGCACUGUUAAGUUCUUUUAGAAGCUUCUAAACCCUAACAAGUCAUUAAUUUUCAUUUUAUUAAUUUUUGGGAGUAUAAAAAACACCCAUAAAAAUAUCAGACACCAAUGAGCAAGUA